CGCUGCAAUAUUUAUCGCGAAAAUGCUCAAAUAAUAUGGAAUUUUGUUAAAUAUAGUGCAUGAGAGAGAACUACGCACGUCUGGGCGUGUGUGUGCUAAAGAAAUAGAGUGCAACACGCCGCGAAAAUGUGCAAAAAGAGUGUGCGAAAAAAGUUAAAUCUAGUCAGAAGAAAAACGUCGUUAAUGUUCAUGGGAGCAGCAGGCAACAGCAACAACAUCAGGGGCAAAGGGAGAAGUAGCAGCAGCAGCUAAACACAGCGAAAAACGCAAAUAAAGUGACACGCAGAAAGAUGAAAUUGUUUUAAAAAUAAUUAAAUAUUAUAUAUAACAAAAACAUACAAAUCUCUACAAAGUUAACUGCGUGCUGUGUGUGUGUGUGUGUCUGUAACUGUGUGUGUGAAUGGGUGUUGUGGGUGCACCUCUUAGACCCCACAAACAGUACUAUACUGUUGUUGUUAUUUUUGUUGGGGUUGAAAAGCUGGCUGCAUAACGCAUGACGUGACGUUGUCUAACAAGGCAAGUCAAUACAACCCCACACGUCAGCCACCCACUCAAAUGCGCAUCAUAUGUGUGUGUGUGUGUGUGUGAUUAAAAAUAAAUUUUGGAUACCCAUACCCCUUCAACAACACAACUAGCCCCCCAAGAGACAAAGGUGCAACAGGAAUAAUAAUGAUGGACAACGAUGACACCAUACUCAACAACUGUGGACCACAGCCUGGCGCUGAGACGGUCUAUGGCACUGAGGACAACAAUAUGGUCAUGUCCGAGAAGAAUGAACAGGUUGUCAGCAUCGUGCAGCAGCUGGCGGGCAGCAUUUAUCAGGAGUUCGAACGGAUGAUCAAUCGGUAUGAUGAGGAUGUGGUGAAGAAUCUAAUGCCGUUGCUGGUGAACGUGCUCGAGUGCUUGGAUGCGUCGUAUCGCAUCAAUCAGGAGCAGGAUGUGGAGGUGGAACUGCUGCGCGAGGAUAAUGAGCAGCUGGUCACGCAAUAUGAACGUGAGAAGAGCGCACGCAAGCAGGCCGAGCAAAAGCUGCUGGAGGCCGAGGACUUGGCGGAACAGGAAAACAAGGAGCUAGCCAGUCGUCUGGAGUCGCUGGAAAGCAUUGUGCGCAUGCUAGAGCUCAAACACAAGAACAGUCUGGAGCAUGCGAGUCGGCUGGAGGAGCGCGAGGGAGAGCUGAAGAAGGAGUACAACAAACUACACGACCGUUACACAGAACUCUUCAAGAACCACGUGGAUUACAUGGAGCGCACCAAAAUGCUGAUGGGCUCGACACACUCACAAAUGAGUUCGGCCUCCGAUCGCCUUGAUGUGAAUCGUGCACGUCUUAAUCCUGUGGCACGUAGCUCGGGACCCGUCUCGUAUGGCUUUGCCUCGCUGGAGAAUUCAGUUAUGCUCGACACAGAGACGAUUUGCAGUGUUGGCAGCAAUUCUGAUGACUCGGGACCGCCAUCACUGCAGAACGAGCUCGACAAUUUGGCCGGCACUGUGGAGCGUGGUGCCGAAACGGAUGCGCUACAGCAACAAAAUCAGGCCACCUCUCCACAGAGUCCCGACAGUAGUCCGAUUGUGCCAAAUGUGCCCGCAAAUGUUGGUCGCACGACUACCAAAAAGGAGCAACGCUCGGCCAACACUUUGUACCAAGAGUUGUCCUUUCAGGAUAAUGAAGAGAGCGAAGAGAAUGAAAUUGUUACUGGCAGCUGGGUACAUCCUGGAGAGUACGCUUCCUCAGCUAACGACAACUAUUUUGGAAUGGGCAAAGAGGUGGAAAAUCUCAUCAUGGAGAAUAACGAGCUGCUAGCAACCAAAAAUGCACUCAACAUUGUGAAGGACGAUUUGAUAGUCAAAGUCGAUGAGCUGACGGGCGAAGUGGAAAUCGUGCGAGAAGAGUUAAAUGCAAUGCAGCAGUCGCGCACGAAGUUGAGGCAACGCAUCAGCGAGUUGGAGGAUGAGCUCAAGAAGACGAAGGAGCAGGUGAAGCAACAAACAGACAAUGAGCAAGAGGAGAAUGACGUGCCAUUGGCGCAGCGUAAACGCUUUACACGCGUGGAGAUGGCGAUGGUGCUGAUGGAGCGCAAUCAGUACAAGGAACGUCUGAUGGAGCUGCAGGAGGCAGUGCGUCUGACGGAAAUACUCCGCGCCUCACGCACCGUCGACAAUCUGGAUAAGAAAUCGAAGCAAAGCAUUUGGAAAUAUUUUAGUAAUCUUUUUACCCCCUCCAAUCGCCCGACGGAGCGCAUAGCCGACGGGCUGGGAGGGGGGCCCAUGUUUCGUCACACCGGCGGAGGAAGCCCUGCCCACAGCCAUGGAUCCCCUAGCCGUGGAGGAAGCGACAAUCGCCUUGCCUUAACAGGCAGCCAGCCGCCGCCGCAUCCGGCCAGCGCAGGCCUAGCCAAUGCGCUAAUACAGCCCAAGGAUUAUGCGGAGGAAGGCACAUCAGAACGCAUUAGUGCCCGUCGUCGCGAGCAGUAUCGACAGCUACGCGCCCAUGUCCAGAAGGAGGAUGGACGUCUGCAUGCCUAUGGCUGGAGUUUGCCCAUCAAUAAAACCAACCAGGACCAGCCAAAUCGCCACUCAGGCGGUGUGCCCGUCCCAGUCUAUUGUAAUCCAUUGGCCGAGGCUUCGCCGCACAUGAAGGUCUUCUGUGCUGCGGGCGUUAAUCUCAACGGAGGCUUCACCAAAGACGGCCAGUCCCUGAUACCCUCAAAUUCCCCGUAUGCGCCACGUUCCACACUCAAGAUAGCUGAGAUUACCAGUCCAACGGUGGAGCAUAGCGCCGAAGCGUUGGACCGUCAGAUGGCGCGUGCCAGUCUGGAAACAUUGGAGCCGGAAACGCAACUAAGCUCAUUUGUCUGGAUAUGUACGAGCACCCAUGCCGCCAGCACAGUGACGGUCGUGGAUGCGAAUAAUUCGGCGACUGUACUCGAUGCGUUUCCCAUUUGUGCGUCGCAUUUGUUGUGCAUUGCCUCCGUGCAGGGCGCCAUGGAGAGCGAUUAUGCCCUGCUGGAGCAGUCGGAGGCCAUCAAGGCUGGUGAAAUGCUGGAGCGCCCAGGCGAGGGCACCGAACUGCUCGGUAAGGUGGAGUUUGUGCGUGUCCGGCCCAAGGCGGACAAGAACAGCAACAACAAAGAAGGUGAUAGCGAACAGGAGGCGAAUGAAGCAAAUGGAACGAACGAAACGACGACCGCUACCUUAGCAGGCAUCGCCGAAGCUAAAGAGGCUACCGAGAAAUCUAAUGAGCAGCUGGGCACUGUGGACGCCACCGAGCCGCUGGGCAAUGUGGAAGCCAUUAAGAUACGUCAAGCGCUACCCGGUGUCCCACAGCGCCUGUCCAACGAUGGCAGCAUUCUAGCCAAUGGCAAUCAAGCCAACAACAAUAUGGCAGCAACACAAUUAGCGACCAGAUCGCUGAACCCGAUACUCGGCACAAAGGAACGCGAAGAGCCGGCGAUGAGCUCGGUCGGGCCGACCAUGUGGCUGGGCGCCCAGGAUGGUUGGCUUUAUGUGCACAGCAGUGUGGGGAGGUGGCAUUCCUGUUUGCACAAGGUACACCUGCCCGAUGCGGUGCUAGCGAUAGUUCAUGUUGAAGCGCGCGUUGUCGUGGCCCUAGCAAAUGCCCAGUUGGCUGUGUUCCGCCGCCAAACAGACGGCCAAUGGGAUCUGAAUAGCUAUCAUCUCGUAACGCUCGGCGAUCAUAAUCAUUCGAUACGUUGCCUCUGUGUGGCUGGCGAACGCAUUUGGGCCGCGCAUCGCAACAAGAUCUUCAUUGUCGAUCCCAUCUCGUUGAACAUUGUCCAUUCGCUAGACGCGCAUCCGCGUAAGGAGAGCCAAGUGCGGCAAAUGGCAGCCACUGGUGCCGGCGUUUGGGUAUCCAUACGUCUGGACUCGACGCUGCGCUUGUACAACACACACACGUUCGAGCACAAACAGGACGUGGACAUAGAGCCGUAUGUGUCGAAAAUGUUAGGAACCGGCAAGCUGGGCUUCUCAUUUGUGAGGAUCACAGCGCUGAUGGUGUCGUGCAAUCGUCUGUGGAUUGGCACCAGCAAUGGUGUCAUUAUAUCUGUACCAUUGGCGGAGGGUCAGCAAAAGUCAUCUGAUCCCCAUGGCCAAAUGCCGCUCUGCUGCAUGGCCAAUGCUCAACUCAGCUUCCACGGACAUCGGGAUGCGGUGAAGUUCUUUGUUUCGGUUCCGAUGCUCCAACAACCCAAUGCUCCCCUCACCUUCACCAACAAACGACCCGACAUGUUGGUCAUGUGCGGUGGGGAGGGUUAUAUUGAUUUUCGCAUAAGACAUGAUAAAUUCGAUGAUAGUGAUAAUGCUGCGCAUUUGAUAGUUUGGAAAGUCGAUACUACCUUCAAUUUGUAGUACUCCGCCCUGCCGGGCUUGGGCUUCAUAGGCCCCGUUAAAUUGGAAUGCAGCCGUGACCUGAACUAAAAAAAACAAAUACCCCUAAGAUGACAAUGACAUGGAGCACAGUAUUCAACUGGAACCAAAUCAGACGAUCGAGAAUCGUGGCGACAAGAGCUAUUUGAUAGUGUGGCAUGUUAGCAAACGUUAAUUUGUUAAAAUGCAAAUGAAUGAAUAUUUAUAAAAACAGUUAAAAUGCAUACAAUUUAGAGGUCUGCAUGGCUGUAUUCGGCUGGCUAUUAAUUAUAUUCAUUCACCUGCUUUCCAGUUUUUUCGAUAAAGGAAAACCUUCGUCACGCCCACACCAUCAAAUUUCUUGCGAAUGCCUCAAAUCGGCUUUUGAGUGCAUUCAUGCAGCCCUCUAAUACAGAACCCCUAGUUGUUUAAACCUUUGCAGGCUAGCUAAAAACCAAUUACCUUAAAUCUAGAGUUUAACUAAUUAAUUUAUGUUUGCUGCAAUGUCAAAGCGCAUUGUUAACACUUUUGGGCACUAAAUCCAAACGAACCACAUAAUAAUUAUUAAUUAAAUAACUAUUAAUUAUGCUAUACACCGUAUAAAAACGUAGCUAUGUAUUAAUUAUGUAUUUGUUUAAACUCUUGCUUCACAUAAACCUACAACUAAUACUUUAAUUGUCAGUGAUAGCCAACUAAAUAUUACACUAUAUAUGCAAAGUAUAUACAACCUCUAUGCAGUAAGUUUAAAAUUUGUACAUUUUAUGCGUUCUUAAACAAAAAGUAAUACACAAAUAAGUGCGCCUUUUAUAAGCAAUUAGAGCGUGAUUUUUUGUCCAAAUAUUUGUAGUAGAAUUUUAUGUUUAAUUUAUGCGAAAUAUACGUACAUAUAGUAUGUCUUAUUUCAAUUUAUAUCGCUUAUUGAUUUCGAACGAAAAGAUUGUUACAUAUUAUUAGUUUUAGUUGAAACGCUUAUUAUUACUUUGGUUGUUAUUAAUUUGUUCGUAAGUUUUAGUUUUUAAAUAAAACGGAGAACCGAUUGCUGUAUGUUUUAAUUUUCCUUGCACGUCAUUUAGGACUGAUUAUGUUGAUCAACUGCUUAACUUUUUCGUUUUCAAACAUACCGUGAAGACUUUAAAUAUAUAUAUAUAUAUAUAUAUUUGCAAAGGAAAGGGGGAUUUACUGCUUAAAGAAACAACACCUCUUUUUAAUUUAUGAUGAAAGUUUAAUAUUUAAUCAGUUCAUUAACCUUUUGUUAAGACGCUAAAUAUGUGGAUUAUUUCCGCCAGGAAAGGGUUGAUUAACUGCUUAAAGAUGAGACCUUUUUGAUUUCCAGCAACAAAAACAUUUAUUAACCAUUUAACAAAACUUCUUCUUUGCUAAUUUAUCAUACAAGUUUAAUGUUUAACCAGUUAAUCACCUUUAAUGAAGACCCCAAUCAUCCUCAGUUUUGUUUAAGGACGCCAGAAAAGUGAUAUUUGUUUUGCGAAUUCAUUAAAGGCAUUCAAUAUACAUAAAAAUUGAAUUAUACAAUUUUUAAAGUUCAAAAACAAAAAAUGAAAUAAAUUAAUAAUAAAAGGCAUAAGA